CUCGAAUUUAGCUUCAUUCUGUUGUCGCACAUGCAGCCGGGAACAUCAUUUUCCUCAAAUAUUGGUCUAUGACUGAGUUAUCGCUGCCAGUCGUCUCAGCACGUGUUGCUUCCUAUCUGUUUCUUUAUCAGCCUGUCAAAACAACAGCUCCCUCGGAGAAAGGAUUCAUGAGACAAAAUGGUGAAUGGAUUAAGUCCUGUUGGAAAUUUUAGUUCCAGUUUUACCAUUUCGCUUCUCAGCCAUGUCUCUGGAGUCUGAUGAUGAACUGAACUACAAACUACUCACCAGAGACAAAGUAGAGGAUGCUUUGGCUAUACAGGCUCAGACCAUGAAACAGGAAAAUCUGGCAAUAGGUUUGGGGAUGUUUGAAGAAGAUGGAGCUCCAGAAGAGAUGUUGUUAGUCUUCAAGGAAGUCAUCAAAGACGGUACCACGUUGAUAGCUGUUGACAAGAAGACGAAUGAAUUAGCAGCUGUGGCGUUCAACAAGCUUCAUGCUAGACCCAAAGAAGGAGUAAAGGAUGAGCUAGAGGUGUUCAUAGAGGAGAACCUGAGGCACCAGACGUGCAGGCAGCUUGUCAAGCUUCUCGAUGACACUCAGUGCAGCGUAGAUAUUUUUGAGAGGAACAAUGCAAAUGGGGCGUUGGAGUUGUUUUAUCUUGGCACCAAUCCACGUUACCAAGGCCGAGGGAUCGGCCGCCAAAUGGUAGAAAAGUGUAUCGAGUUCGGUCGAGGACUGUUGAACGGUACAAUGAAGAGAACAUCGAUCGACGGCGACGUUCUAGAGCAGCACGUGCUCCCAGAGAUAAUUUUUGGUGUAUUUGCCUCUAACUACAGUCAACGAAUCGCAGACAAAUUGGGUUUCGAGGUUCUACAUGAGUUUCGGUACGAAGAUUACAGCUUUGCUGGCAGAAAAAUGUCCGAGAGGAUAGGAGACGUUCAUAGAACGGCCAGGUUGCAGGUUUUGAAACUUUAAAAAGAACUAAGACGUGCGAGAGAUAGGUUCUGUAGUGAGUUCUUUCAUGUUAUGCUGUUGCGAGAGUUAAGAGUCUAUGAAAACUGUAAUAUUUGGAAUGGUUAAUAAAUGAACCUUUCGAGAUAUGAAUAUAAUAUUCCAAGAAAAAUAAAGGAAGAAGGAAUCCAAAUGGUAAUUCAGUUUGUGCCAUGAGUUUCAUCAGACACAUUCUAUUGUCCAUUAAGUAACAAUUAAAUAAUUAAAACUCUUUGAUAGAAUAAUGUUCGAAUUUACAUUCAGAUUCGUUCUCAAUCUCAAACUAAAAUUCAAAUUCGAAUUUAGUAACUGAAUAAAUAUCGAAACUAGUUUUUAGCUAGUCAUUUUUAAAAGACGCAUUUCACCAUCUAGUGAGAGGAUUUCAGAGGAAAAAAGAAAGCAGUGAUGGGCAGAAUCAGUACGAGGGCACUCGAGAUGAAUAUCAAGUCCGACAGUGAAGAGAUUCUACGUUAUCUCACGAGUGUCUCGUGGCUGGUACAUAAUUAACUUCGUUAGUCGGUGCCUGCUUUUCAGCAACUUAAUUGAUCUUGUUAUUCAAACGAGCGGACGACGAGUGGUCGAGUGACGAGAAGAUGAGCUUUAUGCGACGUCCUUUUUUUUUUUACCUUUUUUAUAUAAGUAUAUAUAUGUAUGUAUUAACACAUUUACAAUCCGGUACAUAAUUGUUGAAUAUAGUGAAUAUAUUGAGCGUAAUUAUGAAUCUAAACAUCGACCACGGGAA